GAGUUGAUCCUGGCUCAGGACGAACGCUGGCGGCGUGGAUUAGGCAUGCAAGUCGAACGACGGUGAGCUUCGGCUCAUACGGAGUGGCGAACGGGUGAGUAACACGUGAUCAACCUGUCCUCACGUUCCGGAUAGCGCACCGAAAGGUGCAGUAAUACGGGCGAGGGUCUUAUCGGGGCAUCUCGAUGAGAAGGAACACGCAAGGUAACUUGUGUGGUGCGAGGAGGGGAUCGCGGCCUAUCAGGUAGACGGUGAGGUAACGGCUCACCGUGCCGACGACGGGUAGCUGGUCUGAGAGGAUGGUCAGCCACAUUGGAACUGAGAUACUGUCCAGACUCCUACGGGAGGCUGCAGUCGAGAAUCUUGGGCAAUGCACGAAAGUGUGACCCAGCGACGCCGCGUGGAGGACGAAGGCGCUCUGCGUUGUAAACUCCUUUUAUCGGAGAAGAACGGGCUUUGGCCCUUGACGGUAUCCGAUGAAUAAGCCACGGCUAACUACGUGCCAGCAGCCGCGGUAAUACGUAGGUGGCAAGCGUUGUCCGGAUUUACUGGGCGUAAAGGGUGUGCAGGCGGAACUCUAAGUAAAGGUGAAAGGUUGGAGCUUAACUCUGACACUGCUUCUUAUACUGGGGUUCUUGAGUGCCGGAGAGGAAA
rnacentral:rRNA from 1 species